AUUGAACGCUGGCGGCAUGCUUUACACAUGCAAGUCGAACGGGGUGAAGGGGUAACUCUUCAUUCAGUGGCGAACGGGUGAGUAAUGCAUCGGAACGUACCUCGUAGUGGGGGAUAACUCGGCGAAAGCCGUGCUAAUACCGCAUAUGCUCUACGGAGGAAAGCAGGGGACCGCAAGGCCUUGUGCUAUGGGAGCGGCCGAUGUCCGAUUAGCUAGUUGGUGGGGAAUGGCCUACCAAGGCGACGAUCGGUAGCUGGUCUGAGAGGAUGAUCAGCCACACUGGGACUGAGACACGGCCCAGACUCCUACGGGAGGCAGCAGUGGGGAAUUCUGGACAAUGGGGGCAACCCUGAUCCAGCCAUUCCGCGUGAGUGAAGAAGGCCUGG
rnacentral:rRNA from 1 species